CCUACGGGUGGCAGCAGUGAGGAAUAUUGGUCAAUGGGCGCUAGCCUGAACCAGCCAAGUAGCGUGAAGGAUGACUGCCCUAUGGGUUGUAAACUUCUUUUAUAUGGGAAUAAAGUGCAGUAUGUAUACUGAUUUGCAUGUACCUUAUGAAUAAGGAUCGGCUAACUCCGUGCCAGCAGCCGCGGUAAUACGGAGGAUCCGAGCGUUAUCCGGAUUUAUUGGGUUUAAAGGGAGGGUAGGCGGGUUGUUAAGUCAGUUGUGAAAGUUUGCGGCUCAACCGUAAAAUUGCAGUUGAUACUGGCAGCCUUGAGUACAGUAGAGGUAGGCGGAAUUCGUGGUGUAGCGGUGAAAUGCUUAGAUAUCACGAAGAACUCCGAUUGCGAAGGCAGCCUACUGGACUGUAACUGACGCUGAUGCUCGAAAGUGUGGGUAUCAAACAGGAUUAGAUACCCGAGUAGUC
rnacentral:rRNA from 1 species